GGGAGGGGAGGGACUGAGAACUGGAUUUUUGGCUUUAAAAACCUGACAGCUGCCAGUGCCCUUUACUGAAAUGAGGAACAUUGGAAAGGAUAAUGUUUAGAAAGAAAUGCAAGGGAGUUAUCCAUUAAUCUAGAUAAAUAUAAAAACUAGUUAAGGAUAAGAUAACUGUUUAUAAUAACAUAUGAAGUAAAAACCCUAACUAAAAUGUGUACAAUAAUUAUAAUUAUGAAGAAAAUGUAUAUUGAAAAUUUUGAGUAGAAAAUAUGGUUACAUGAGAACUUUGAUGUAUUGAGGAGUUAUUGAGAAAUUUGUGGUUUUAAAAAGUUUUAUUGAGUUCUGCUUUGCUUGUUAUACUAUUGUGAACUAAAAAGUAAAAUUCUCGUAAAAAUAAGUCUAUGAGAAAAGCCUAAAAUGAUAGUAAUCCAGAAUAGAAUUUCAUCAUAAUAAAGUCAUUAAAAAGUUGACAUAUUUUGUAAUGGGAAUUAAAAAUAAAAACACUAAAAGCUCUAUUUCCAGGUCCUGAAACCCAAAGCAGAAUUAUCGCAGUGAGGGUUGGGGGGAGGGUGGGUGAGAUUUACUUUUGUUUACACUAACUGAAGGUAAAAUCCCUUUACAUUUAAAAUUGUAUUAAUAAUGGAUUUUUUUUUACUAGUAAUACCUUGGCUUGAUUACAUUAUGAUCUAUAAAUACGUUUUAUACGAAUGACUUCUCCAUGAAACAAAUUGUAGUUAUCAAUCAGUAAAUUUGUUAAUUGAACUAUGUGGAGGGCCCUGAGCUAAGCAGAACAGAUAUAAAUUGGUGCUUGAUUGUUUAUUGAGAGGAAUUGAGCCUGACUUAAAUGUUUUUCCCUAACUUCAAAAGAUAGCUUCCCUACAACUCUGAUAAAUGGAAAACAGCCACAUCUAUCAGAAACAACCCACAUUUCCAAUUUAUGUAUAAAAUAAUAUUUCCUUCGCUUAUUCAGAACUGUUAUCAAAACUCAUGGCCAAAUGUAUAAACUCUGCUAUGAGGCACACAUUUUGAAUGUGUUGAGAAUUAUCACAGCCAAAGUGAAUAUGUAAGGAGAAAAAUUUCAGCUAUAAACAUUAAAAUGUUAAUGUUUUACUAAUAAUUAUGUCCUUAGACACACAGUCUUGUUGGGGAGAACAUUUUCACAAAGAAAAAUAUUUAUCUCUAAAAUCUCACUUUAUUUAUGUAUUUUUCGAGAGUGGAGUCUUGCUAUGCUUCCCGGGCUGCUCUUGACCUUCAGGACUCAAGCAGUCCUCCUACCUUGGCCUCUCAAGUAGCUGGGACUACUGGAUCUCAGGAGGCAGUAGUCAUAUAUUGUUACUUCAGCUCUCCACAAAGGCAAUACAGUACAGAUCUCUGUACUAUAAACGACAACAAGGACCAGUCACAAUUUCAGUUCUUGUUACAUUGAUAAGACUCCUUCAGGUAAGAGAUUAAAACAUGCCUUUAUUAUUAUAAGGUUAGUGACCAUUUUAAUGGAAUAAAAGGAUUAUUCCUGUUGCAUUGGAGAUAGGAAAUUUGGGGUGUGAAUGUGUGAGGUAGGUGUCUUUUCUCUCCUAUGCCUGUAUUGUUCAAAAGCUCUUUGACAUUAGAAAAAGGUUAGCUCUAUAAUCUUAAUAUUAAUAUUUAGUAUAAAAUCUAUGGAGAACACACAUUAUAUAGGGAGCCAAAAAGUUCAACUCUUUUUUUAAUGGAGAGAAGGUAAGUAGGUGAUCUUCACAGACUAAGAGGUUUUGCCUUUUAACACCAACAACAUAAUACUAUUUAUAUUUGCUCUAUCAUUGUGAUUAACCUCCCUUCCCCCUUCAAAAAAAAACACACUUAGCUUACUCACCUGACAGUAAUGAUAUAUAUCAUUUUAAAAACAAAGAAAUUAAUUUUUUCUACCUAAUGUGCAUGACUGAUGUUGAAAAGAUAGUGAGGGUUACCCAUAUAUUCACACAUGUAAAUUGUGGAAAUAAGAGACAGAGAAAAAACUCAACAGAUAUAAUAUGUAAAGCUGUCAAAAGACUUUCAAAUAGCUAAUUCCUUCAGAUCAUAUAUUUCAAUAUAAGUUGCUAUUUAAACAGAGGUCUCUCAUUUGGUGGGAGGAGCUUUUAAAAGAAAAAAUACAUGAAGGUAAGUAAUAUUACCUUUGCCAUUUGUUAUGAAAUAAAUAUAUCAUGAGGAGUUAUGUUUCAUUAAAAUGUAAUACUUAUAGAUGACAGUUUCAAAUGAUCAGAUUUUAAAAUGUAUGUGUUAUGUUUUACCAGGAAGAUUAUACAGUAUUUUUAAUCUUGAUUUUUCAUGACUUCUUGCAAAUAUGCAUUUAUUGCUUUCCAAACCGUAUCUGGGAAUGAAGGAGAAAAAAUUGUUUUAUCCGAAGAGUUAGCUGUUCUUCCUUGGUUCAAUCAGGAGUAAGUUCUGAUAUCGUAGAGGGGAAUGUAUUAAGAUAAUUCCUAAAAUAUAACUGUGCUUUUAUUGUUUUGCGUAUGCUGCCAGGAAGUUAAAAACAUUUUGUUUCAAAUAACUGUGUAUGUUUAAAAGUCAAACCUAUUAUUUGCUAUAUUAUUUGUCAUGUGCUAUAAUUUGACAGAGGAGCAAUGUUUUUCCAAAAAGUAAAAUUUUAUAACCAAAGGCCAUCAAUUGUACAAACGACUAAGAGAAUUAAAUUUUAUUAAGUUGGAAAUGUAAUGUAUUCAUUGUAACUGUUUUAAGAGAAAUUAAGUGAGUGCUUUGUAUGUAGUUAUCUUAAAUGUUAUGUGUAUUCUUUUAGAAAACCUUUUACUUGUUUUCCUUCUUUUCACCUUCAGUGUCCUGGCACGCGACUAGCGCAAAUCAUACCUUGUCUGUCAUAAUAAAGUAUAGAGUUGGAAAUUCUAAAGAGAAUAAAAAUUACUUAACGUCUUUAA